GACGAACGCUGGCGGCGUGCUUAACACAUGCAAGUCGAACGAAGAGCGACGGAAGCUUGCUUCUAUCAAUCUUAGUGGCGGACGGGUGAGUAACGCGUAAUCAACCUGCCCUUCAGAGGGGGACAACAGUUGGAAACGACUGCUAAUACCGCAUACGAUCUAAUCUCGGCAUCGAGGAUGGAUGAAAGGUGGCCUCUACAUGUAAGCUAUCACUGAAGGAGGGGAUUGCGUCUGAUUAGCUAGUUGGAGGGGUAACGGCCCACCAAGGCGAUGAUCAGUAGCCGGUCUGAGAGGAUGAACGGCCACAUUGGGACUGAGACACGGCCCAGACUCCUACGGGAGGCAGCAGUGGGGAAUCUUCCGCAAUGGACGAAAGUCUGACGGAGCAACGCCGCGUGAGUGAUGACGGCCUUCGGAUUGUAAAGCUCUGUUAAUCGGGACGAAAGGCCUUCUUGCGAAUAGUGAGAAGGAUUGACGGUACCGGAAUAGAAAGCCACGGCUAACUACGUG
rnacentral:rRNA from 1 species